rnacentral:rRNA from 1 species
GGACUACUGGGGUAUCUAAUCCUGUUUGAUCCCCACGCUUUCGGUGAUGAGUGUCAGUGUCUGCCCAGCUACCCGCCUUCGCCUCCGGUAUUCCUCCUGAUAUCUACGUAUUUCACCACUACACCAGGAAUUCUAGUAGCCUCUACAGCACUCAAGCUCAGCAGUAUCAAGUGCACUUCCUGGGUUGAGCCCAGGGCUUUCACACCUGACUUACCAAGCCACCUGCCACCGCUUUACGCCCAAUGAUUCCGAACAACGCUAGGGUCCCUCGUCUUACCGCGGCGGCUGGCAC